rnacentral:rRNA from 1 species
GAUGAGCGCUGGCGGCGUGCUUAACACAUGCAAGUCGAACGAAGCAUUUGCGACAGAUUUUUUCGGAAUGAAGUUGCUUAUGACUGAGUGGCGGACGGGUGAGUAACGCGUGGGUAACCUGCCUUGUACUGGGGGAUAGCAGCUGGAAACGGCUGGUAAUACCGCAUAAGCGCACAAUGUUGCAUGACAUGGUGUGAAAAACUCCGGUGGUAUAAGAUGGACCCGCGUCUGAUUAGCUAGUUGGUGAGAUAACAGCCCACCAAGGCGACGAUCAGUAGCCGACCUGAGAGGGUGACCGGCCACAUUGGGACUGAGACACGGCCCAGACUCCUACGGGAGGCAGCAGUGGGGAAUAUUGCACAAUGGAGGAAACUCUGAUGCAGCGACGCCGCGUGAGUGAAGAAGUAAUUCGUUAUGUAAAGCUCUAUCAGCAGGGAAGAUAGUGACGGUACCUGACUAAGAAGCUCCGGCUAAAUACGUG